rnacentral:rRNA from 1 species
ACGAAGGUCCCAAGCGUUGUUCGGAUUUACUGGGCGUAAAGAGUCUGUAGGCGGCGGGGUAAGUCAGAUGUGAAAUCCCGGGGCUCAACCCCGGAACUGCAUCCGAUACUGCCUUGCUAGAGUAUUGGAGGGGAGUCUGGAAUUCUCGGUGUAGCAGUGAAAUGCGUAGAUAUCGAGAGGAACACUAGUGGCGAAGGCGAGACUCUGGACAAUUACUGACGCUGAGAGACGAAGGUCAGGGGAGCGAAAAGGAUUAGAUACCCUUGUAGUCCUGACAGUAAACGGUGCACGCUUGGUGUGGGAAGGUUCGACCCUUUCUGUGCCGGAGCUAACGCGUUAAGCGUGCCGCCUGGGGAGUACGGUCGCAAGAUUA